GACGAACGCUGGCGGCGUGCUUAACACAUGCAAGUCGAACGGAAAGGCCCUGCUUUGGUGGGGUGCUCGAGUGGCGAACGGGUGAGUAACACGUGAGUAACCUGCCCGUGGCUGUGGGAUAACUGCAGGAAACUAGGGCUAAUACCGGAUAGGAGCUCCUGCUGCAUGGGGGGGGUUGGAAAGUUUCGGCGGUUGGGGAUGGACUCGCGGCUUAUCAGCUUGUGGGUGGGGUAGUGGCUUACCAAGGCUUUGACGGGUAGCCGGCCUGAGAGGGUGACCGGCCACCAUGGGCCUGCGAUACGGCCCAGUCUCCUACGGGAGGCAGCAGUGGGGAAUCUUGCACAACGAGCCGAAGCCUGUUGCAGCAGCGCCGCGUGCGGGAUGACGGCCUUCGCGUUGUAAACCGCUUUCGCCUGUGACGAAGCGUGAGUGACGGUACUGGGUAAAGAAGCACCGGCUAACUACGUG
rnacentral:rRNA from 1 species